UACGGAGGGUGCAAGCGUUGUCCGGAAUCACUGGGCGUAAAGGGCGCGUAGGCGGCUCAUGAAGUCUGUGGUGAAAUCCCUGGGCUCAACCGAGGAAGUGCAUUCGAAACUAACUAGCUAGAAGAUGGUAGAGGAAGGUGGAAUUCCAAGUGUAGAGGUGAAAUUCGUAGAUAUUUGGAGGAAUACCGGUGGCGAAGGCGGCCUUCUGGGCCAUUCUUGACGCUGAGACGCGAAAGCGUGGGGAGCAAACAGG
rnacentral:rRNA from 1 species